rnacentral:rRNA from 1 species
UCAAGGUUGACCUCGGAUCAGGUAGGAAUACCCGCUGAACUUAAGCAUAUCAAUAAGCGGAGGAAAAGAAACCAACAGGGAUUGCCUCAGUAACGGCGAGUGAAGCGGCAACAGCUCAAAUUUGAAAUCUGGCCCCCAGGCCCGAGUUGUAAUUUGUAGAGGAUGCUUCUGGCGACGCGCCUUCCGAGUUCCCUGGAACGGGACGCCAAAGAGGGUGAGAGCCCCGUCCGGUCGUGCGCCUAGCCUCUGUGAAGCUCCUUCGACGAGUCGAGUAGUUUGGGAAUGCUGCUCUAAAUGGGAGGUAUACGUCUUCUAAAGCUAAAUACCGGCCAGAGACCGAUAGCGCACAAGUAGAGUGAUCGAAAGAUGAAAAGCACUUUGAAAAGAGGGUUAAAUAGUACGUGAAAUUGCUGAAAGGGAAGCGCUUAUGACCAGACUUGGGCUUGGUGAAUCAUCCGGCGUUCUCGCCGGUGCACUUUGCCGGUCCAGGCCAGCAUCAGUUCGCCUCGGGGGAUAAAGGCUUCGGGAAUGUAGCUCCCUCGGGAGUGUUAUAGACCGUUGCGCAAUACCCUGGGGCGGACUGAGGUACGCGU